UAACCCUUUCUCCCAAUUUUUUCACUGAGUUGUUUGUAAUUUUUUGGGGGUGGGGGUUAUUUAUUCCUGUUUAUAAUUAUUUAUAGAUAUUAUGGACAAAAUAUUUUUGACCAAAAUACACUAAAAAUAUGAGUUUUUGGGAAGUUUCAUACUAUUAAUUAUUAGUUGUUAGUACUUUUUUCUAGCUGAUAUAUCAUAAUUCAUGGUGUAAGUAUUAAAAUACAUCUAGUUGAAUAGAUGGCGAUAGUUCAGGUAGGAAAAGGGAACGAUUGAUAUUUGGCCUUUUGAUGUGUUUAGUUGAUACAUGGAUGGUGAAUGAGUAAGAGUUGGGAAUGUGAAACUCGCGAAAAAGUGAUGAAAUGUUUUUACUUGAAAUUCUCAUGUCCAUGUUGAUUAAAUUACCAGGAGCGUCUAGUGGUAUUGGUGCAGAAACAACGCGUGUUCUUGCAAUGCGAGGUGCGCAUGUAGUAAUGGCAGUUCGUAAUGUUAAAAGUGGCGAAGAAGUUAAGGAUAGUAUUCUUAAAGAGAUUCCUCAUGCCAAAA